UACGCUGGCGGCGUGCCUAAUACAUGCAAGUCGAACGAACUCUGGUAUUGAUUGGUGCUUGCAUCAUGAUUUACAUUUGAGUGAGUGGCGAACUGGUGAGUAACACGUGGGAAACCUGCCCAGAAGCGGGGGAUAACACCUGGAAACAGAUGCUAAUACCGCAUAACAACUUGGACCGCAUGGUCCGAGYUUGAAAGAUGGCUUCGGCUAUCACUUUUGGAUGGUCCCGCGGCGUAUUAGCUAGAUGGUGGGGUAACGGCUCACCAUGGCAAUGAUACGUAGCCGACCUGAGAGGGUAAUCGGCCACAUUGGGACUGAGACACGGCCCAAACUCCUACGGGAGGCAGCAGUAGGGAAUCUUCCACAAUGGACGAAAGUCUGAUGGAGCAACSCCGCGUGAGUGAAGAAGGGUUUCGGCUCGUAAAACUCUGUUGUUAAAGAAGAACAUAUCUGAGAGUAACUGUUCAGGUAUUGACGGUAUUUAACCAGAAAGCCACGGCUAACUACGUGCCAGCAGCCGCGGUAAUACGUAGGUGGCAAGCGUUGUCCGGAUUUAUUGGGCGUAAAGCGAGCGCAGGCGGUUUUUUAAGUCUGAUGUGAAAGCCUUCGGCUCAACCGAAGAAGUGCAUCGGAAACUGGGAAACUUGAGUGCAGAAGAGGACAGUGGAACUCCAUGUGUAGCGGUGAAAUGCGUAGAUAUAUGGAAGAACACCAGUGGCGAAGGCGGCUGUCUGGUCUGUAACUGACGCUGAGGCUCGAAAGUAUGGGUAGCAAACAGGAUUAGAUACCCUGGUAGUCCAUACCGUAAACGAUGAAUGCUAAGUGUUGGAGGGUUUCCGCCCUUCAGUGCUGCAGCUAACGCAUUAAGCAUUCCGCCUGGGGAGUACGGCCGCAAGGCUGAAACUCAAAGGAAUUGACGGGGGCCCGCACAAGCGGUGGAGCAUGUGGUUUAAUUCGAAGCUACGCGAAGAACCUUACCAGGUCUUGACAUACUAUGCAAAUCUAAGAGAUUAGACGUUCCCUUCGGGGACAUGGAUACAGGUGGUGCAUGGUUGUCGUCAGCUCGUGUCGUGAGAUGUUGGGUUAAGUCCCGCAACGAGCGCAACCCUUAUUAUCAGUUGCCAGCAUUAAGUUGGGCACUCUGGUGAGACUGCCGGUGACAAACCGGAGGAAGGUGGGGAUGACGUCAAAUCAUCAUGCCCCUUAUGACCUGGGCUACACACGUGCUACAAUGGAUGGUACAACGAGUUGCGAACUCGCGAGAGUAAGCUAAUCUCUUAAAGCCAUUCUCAGUUCGGAUUGUAGGCUGCAACUCGCCUACAUGAAGUCGGAAUCGCUAGUAAUCGCGGAUCAGCAUGCCGCGGUGAAUACGUUCCCGGGCCUUGUACACACCGCCCGUCACACCAUGAGAGUUUGUAACACCCAAAGUCGGUC
rnacentral:rRNA from 1 species